CAGCCGCCGCGGGAAUACAGAGGGUGCGAGCGUUAAUCGGAUUUACUGGGCGUAAAGCGUGCGUAGGCGGCUUUUUAAGUCGGAUGUGAAAUCCCUGAGCUUAACUUAGGAAUUGCAUUCGAUACUGGGAAGCUAGAGUGUGGGAGAGGAUGGUAGAAUUCCAGGUGUAGCGGUGAAAUGCGUAGAGAUCUGGAGGAAUACCGAUGGCGAAGGCAGCCAUCUGGCCUAAUACUGACGCUGAGGUACGAAAGCAUGGGGAGCAAACAGGAUUAGAUACCCCGGUAGUCCCUGUCUCUUAUAC
rnacentral:rRNA from 1 species